CUCAGGUUUCGGAGGGGGGGGGAGGGGUGCGGCAGGACCAGACAGACUUGGAGUGGUUUGUGUGGAUCCCCAUCAUGCGUGCCUAUGCCCCCUUCGACCUGCUUCAUGUCAUGCUGGCUCAGACUGUCCGCAGGUUCUGGCCUCAGAUACGCAUGCACACACGCACGCACGCACGCACGCACGCACGCAAAGUGUUAGUUAUUACGUGUGGAAAGAGUAUUGCGUGUUCUACUACUACUUCUACUACUACUAUUACUACUACUGCCGUGAAGACAUCAACCCGACCUGAGCCGACUGCGGGAGUGACAAAUGGUUCCCUGGACGCCGUGUGUCACCGGAUUGCAGGCGAGCGUCAGGCGGACUAUGAGUCGGGACGCUGCCAAGUCUGUUGACCAGAACCUGACCAGGAAAAUUUAAGAAGCGUGGCCUUGACCUUGCUCAGCAGUUGUGCCCUCACCUGACCUACGUUAUGUUGCUCUGCGUUAAUUGUUUCUGGCAAAGUGAGUUAGUGCAGCCGUGCCUUCAGUGUGUCACCAUAAUUUGCAAGCAGUCGAUUUCCUGCUCUACUUUACCAGGUGGUAUUUGUUUUGAAAGAGAGUUGAGAAGUGGAUUAUGUCAUGCUCUCAACCUAAAUUUUAUACUUCUUUAUUCAUAACUGCAUCAACAGACCACCUGGGAAAAGUAAUGCUUUGUGCCUCUGUUUGUUUUCAUUUCACGACACGGUAGGAAGGGAGAGCACGUCCACAGAGCAAAGAAUUCAAGAGAUACCUCUUGGAAUUCUGGGAAAAUAGGAUGUGUAUUUCUGGUCGUCCUUCAGAGAAGCUAAUGUUAUGCAUGCGUAUGCCAUUUAAACUUAGCGAAGAAAUUUAAGAAAUACUUCUGGAAAAUGUUUUAACGAACUCCUAUCGUUAAAUCUUCAUAAGAAACGUUUGCACCAUAAAGUAACGAAAUUUUAAGCCUCACAUCCAGCAUCAGAGACCAUAAGAGCCACAGCAAGGUGUAUUCGAGGAACAGUGUUAAGAUGUGCAUAAACAAAGUAAAAUAUACGUAGUGCUGACAGGCAUCACAGAAAAGAAAACUUGUAAUAACAUUCCAAAGGAAAAAAAACUUUUAACCAGUACAGUGUUGCGCUUUGUCAGAGAUAGUGGUCUUGUCAGGCUGCAUUUCUUUUUCCUAAGCUUUUUAUUUACCCCGUAAAAUGACAGAAAAAG